ensembl:lncRNA
AGGCAGGUGGCGGAACCACUGAGCUCGUCCGGUUUUCUUUUCAUUCUUAACAAUUAUUUACUGAGUGCCUGGUGGUGCCAGGUGCCAUCUAUCUACUUGCCAGAGAAACUUGGGGAUAGCAUGACUUCUCUUGCCUUCCUGGGGCUGACAGUGAAAGAGACAGGCUGAGAAUACACAAUCAAGUAAAUAACUUGGAAUGGUGCUGAGUGCUACGAAGAUAACAAGAGGACAUAAAUCCAGACUCUGCAUCAGGUGACAAACAUGACCGUGGCCAUCCUUCCCACCCAAACACAAACAUGGCCAUCUUUUCCAAAAUUGUAGAACAAAUUAAGUUUGUAAA